rnacentral:rRNA from 1 species
AUGAAGAUGGUGGACAUGCUAGGGAACGCUAGUUCCUAUAUACUGAUUCGUCCAGUCCGACACCUGCGUCCAGCAGCCGUCCAUGCUUGUGAUGGAAGAGGCCGGUGUUCAGCCCCUGGUGAAGGUCGUGAAGUUCAUGGUGUACCUCUGAGUCCAAGCCGUCGCUAUGUGGAUGGAACUUCAAAAUCCAAGACAUCGUGUACGUCUGCGUCCAAGUUGUCGCUAUGUUGGAUGGAACUUCAAAAUCCAGGGCAUCAUGGAGUUGUGGAGAAGAACAAUGCUAGGAUUCUCUCGAGGAAGUUUUUUCUCUCGAGGGAGUUUUGGUGCAUGGGUGGAGCAGGAAACCCCAAUGAUAUCUUCAAGCAGAUAUUUAUUUCCAGUAAAAUAUGGGUACGGAGGACAACUUCCUUUUUUGAGUUGGGAUGUAAUUUUAUUCUUUUUCAUACCUUCCUAUGUAAGGGACGUGAACGGUCUUUUUUAAAAGAUCUUCCUAUGUAUGGGAUCUGA